GACGAACGCUGGCGGCGUGCCUAACACAUGCAAGUCGAGCGAGGAGAGUUCCUUUGGGAAUAAACCUAGACGGCGGACGGGUGAGUAACACGUGGGCAACCUGCCUUGUAGAGGGAAUAGCCUUCCGAAAAGGAAGAAUUAAUACCGACAUAACAUUACAGUUUCGCAUGAAACAGUAAUUAAAGGAGCAAUCCGCUACAAGAUGGGCCCNCGGCGCAUUAGCUAGUUGGUGAGGUAACGGCUCACCAAGGCGACGAUGCGUAGCCGACCUGAGAGGGUGAUCGGCCACAUUGGGACUGAGACACGGCCCAGACUCCUACGGGAGGCAGCAGUGGGGAAUAUUGCACAAUGGGGGAAACCCUGAUGCAGCAACGCCGCGUGAGUGAUGAAGGUUUUCGGAUCGUAAAGCUCUGUCUUCGGGGACGAUAAUGACGGUACCCGAGGAGGAAGCCACGGCUAACUACGUG
rnacentral:rRNA from 1 species